rnacentral:rRNA from 1 species
AGCGAACGCUGGCGGCAGGCCUAACACAUGCAAGUCGAACGCCUGUAGCAAUACAGGAGUGGCAGACGGGUGAGUAACACGUGGGAACGUGCCCUUCGGUUCGGAAUAACUCAGGGAAACUUGGGCUAAUACCGGAUACGUCCGCGAGGAGAAAGAUUCAUCGCCGAAGGAUCGGCCCGCGUCCGAUUAGCUAGUUGGUGGGGUAAUGGCUCACCAAGGCGACGAUCGGUAGCUGGUCUGAGAGGAUGAUCAGCCACACUGGGACUGAGACACGGCCCAGACUCCUACGGGAGGCAGCAGUGGGGAAUAUUGGACAAUGGGCGCAAGCCUGAUCCAGCCAUGCCGCGUGGGUGAUGAAGGCCCUAGGGUUGUAAAGCCCUUUCGGCGGGGAAGAUAAUGACGGUACCCGCAGAAGAAGCCCCGGCUAACUUCGUGCCAGCAGCCGCGGUAACAC